ensembl:lncRNA
AUGAGGCCAUUAAAGAAGCAGCGAGGCCGUUCUCCCCCGCUGACCAGAGGUCGAGGGGGGAGACGGAGAGGAAGCUCUCAGCCCCUUCAAGAGAAGGACCCCAAAAGAGCCAAGAGGGAAACACUCGUCAAGACCACACAGCAUUCACCCAGCGCUCCAACAAGCAAACAGAUAUCGCACUCCGUCGAAGAGCCGAUCACAAACAGCGGUACUCCCAAGAGAGCGGAGCCUACUGGACUGAGGAAACCUGUGGAAUCGGUCGAGAGAAAAGCAGCAGAAAAGACAGAAACAGAAAAGAUAGACGGCACGAACGGAAAUAAGGCCGUGUCCUGUAACUCUAUAGCAUUUCCUACCACCACCCCAACGCCACUCUCCACAGCCACGCCCCCUCCGGCCAACAAUCACAGCUUAGGCUCAGUCUCUAGUAGGAAAACAGCCACAUUUAAGGCUCGUGUGCCCAAGAAGAAAUACACGUAUGAGCACUUUGCAAACAACGCAAGUAGCCUGACUACCAUUCCUACCUCCAGCCCUGCACUUAUACACAGCAGUUACCACAAUGCUCACAGCAAAAUCAGCGAUAGUUUGAGUACACCCAAUAACAAUUUCAAGAGUAGUAACAGUAUUAGUCAAAGCAGUAAUAAAAGUAUUCAUUUUAGUAUCAAUAGUAGUGGUAAUAGUAACACUACCAGUGGUAUUGACAUUGUGACUAACCGUAGUAGCCAUAAUACUCUUAUAGAUAGCAGUAAUAGUAAUAAUUGCUCAGGUAAUCAGCCAUCAGUGCUAAUUGUGGACAGCAAAGCUCCAGACGGAAACUACGUUGUUUCCGGGGACGAUAAAACCUUCAGGGCGGCAGGAUCCCAGGACAAAGAUUUCCAACCUGGGAAAGAUAAGUCGGAGGGGGCCCGUUACUCAGUGCGCUCCUCCUCCACGGAUACUGCGAGCGAGCACUCCGCUGACCUGGACGGGAUGGAAGCAACAGGACCGUGCCUGCCUCAAAAGAACCCCCGCUGCCCAGCCGCUCUCCACCAGCCGCACAAAGAGGCCAGGCGUUCAGAGGGACUGGCUGAAGCUUUGGCCAAGGGCAUGAGGAACCAGAGAGUCCUUGCUCGCCGGUUAAAGACGACCACGGAGAGCGGGGUCGGGUCCACGGGCAACCGAGGGUUGGAGGAGAGUGAAUCACGGCCUCUAUCCCCGGUGUUCAGGCCAGGGGUGGUGCGCAGGGUGAGUGGAGGGACUGUAGAAGUGCAGCUCCAAGGAGAGGAGACCCUUGUUGGAUACCCGUUCCGUGGCGGGACCGCGAUGACAUCGUCACCUGGAGCCGAGAGCCCGGUGGAGUUCAUUCUGGACGCCCCCCCGCCUGGCACGGCACCCGUGGCAGUGAGGACCCGAGUAUGCGUUCCCUUCGGUGGAGAGGAGGGUGGUCCUCCGCUGUACAGAGAAGGCAUUGUCACCCAGGUGGACCCCCACCCUGGCGUGUCCUUUCCUUACCAGGUGCUCUUCAGUGAAGACUGGGAGUCUCUGGACGGCGCCCAUGGGGGGGAAGAGAAAAGGAAAGCUAACGCCAAUUCUCAGGCCGUGUGGGUGUCCCGACAAAGUCUGAGGCUGCUCACCCCUCCCUGGGAGGUCCCACACCUGGAUGGUGGGAGGGCCCAGGAAAGAGAGCGCGAGAGGGAGAGGGAGGAGAGGGAGCGCAGGGAGGAGAUGGAGGUGGAGAGGGAAGUGUGCCAGUUGAGCAUUGGGAUGGGCGUGCUGGGAGGGGGAGCAAGGGUGAGCCAUGGCUUUGAAGGAGUGGCCGGGGGGGCAUCCCUAUGGAAGCACACAUCCGCCACCCCGUUCCUCCACUGGUAA